rnacentral:rRNA from 1 species
UACGUAGGGGGCGAGCGUUAUCCGGAAUUACUGGGCGUAAAGCGCACGCAGGCGGUUCGCCAAGUUUGGAGUGACAGUUGGUGGCUUAACUGCCAAAGUGCUUCAAAAACUGGUGAACUUGAGGACGAGAGAGGAACAUGGAACUCCAGGUGUAGUAGUGAAAUGCGUAGAUAUCUGGAAGAACACCAAUGGCGAAGGCAAUGUUCUGGCUCGUUUCUGACGCUCAGGUGCGAAAGCCAGGGGAGCGAACGGG